rnacentral:rRNA from 1 species
UACGGAGGGGCAAGCGUUGUUCGGAAUUACUGGGCGUAAAGGGCGCGCAGGCGGCUGCUCAAGUCAGGCGUGAAAGGCCUGGGCUCAACCCGGGAAUUGCGCUUGAGACUGGGCUGGCUUGAGUGCGGGAGAGGAGAGUGGAAUUCCCAGUGUAGAGGUGAAAUUCGUAGAUAUUGGGAAGAACACCGGUGGCGAAGGCGGCUCUCUGGACCGAGACUGACGCUGAGGCGCGAAAGCGUGGGGAGCAAACAGG